GGCUUUUGAGUGAAAUCCAAUCUCUACAACUAUGCAAUACACCAAUCACUCCAUUUCAUAACGAACUUCGUACGAACCUGAAUUGUCCAAUUUCAUGGACCAAUCGAGAUUGGAUUGAGUCCAAAGCUUGGGGAACAUCAUAAUACGGUGGGAGGAGUCAUUUAGUGGCUUUUGAGUGAAAUCCAAUCUCUACAACUAUGCAAUACACCAAUCACUCCAUUUCAUAACGAACUUCGUACGAACCUGAAUUGUCCAAUUUCAUGGACCAAUCGAGAUCGGAUUGAGUCCAAA
rnacentral:lncRNA from 1 species